GCACAUAGAUGAUGAAGGGCGGGCAGUGGCUGAACUUACAAGCCACAUGGUUAAACUGACGCAUGUACCUACUCAGGUCUGGAAUGGGUAUAAUCCUAGUAGUUGGUUUGGAAGUUGGUAUGAGCAGCUUGGAGGGAUUAAGGCGUUAGUAGGAGGAGUAGUAUUCAUUAUAUUCUUAUGUCUCUUUCUGCCCUGCCUAAU